GAGACUGCCGUCCUGUUUAUCCACAGAACAGGUACAGCAUUGGCAGGGGCAUGCUUCCACACAGUCCUGCCAAUGUGCCUUAGCCCUGACCUGGAGGUACCAGGACAACAAGCUGGGCCAUGUUUAUUUGUGGAACCU
rnacentral:sRNA from 1 species